rnacentral:rRNA from 1 species
AUCCGCCCUUCGGGGUGGUGAAAGUGGCGCACGGGUGAGUAACGCGUGGAUAAUCUGCCCGAGGAUUUGGGAUAACAUCUCGAAAGGGGUGCUAAUACCGAAUAAGCCCACGGGGUCUACGGAUCUUGCGGGAAAAGGGGGGGACCUUCGGGCCUCCUGUCCUUGGAUGAGUCUGCGUACCAUUAGCUAGUUGGUGGGGUAAUGGCCUACCAAGGCGACGAUGGUUAGCUGGUCUGAGAGGAUGAUCAGCCACACUGGAACUGAGACACGGUCCAGACUCCUACGGGAGGCAGCAGUGGGGAAUUUUGCGCAAUGGGGGAAACCCUGACGCAGCAACGCCGCGUGGGUGAUGAAGGCCUUCGGGUCGUAAAGCUCUGUCUGGAGGGAAGAAAUGAUUGGGAGCUAAUACCUCUUGAUCUUGACGGUACCUCUGA